rnacentral:misc_RNA from 1 species
AACGCACAUUGCGCCCGCCAGUAUUCUGGCGGGCAUGCCUGUUCGAGCGUCAUUUCAACCAUCAAGCCCCCGGCUUGUGUUGGGGACCUGCGGCUGCCGCAGGCCCUGAAAUCCAGUGGCGGGCUCGCUGUCGCACCGAGCGUAGUAGCAUACUUCUCGCUCCGGGAGCGCGGCGGGCGCCUGCCGUAAAACCCCCCCCCCUACAUACCAAAGGUUGACCUCGGAUCAGGUAGGAAUACCCGCUGAACUUAA